AUUGAACGCUGGCGGCAGGCCUAACACAUGCAAGUCGAGCGGAUGAGGAGAGCUUGCUCUUCGAUUCAGCGGCGGACGGGUGAGUAAUGCCUAGGAAUCUGCCUGGUAGUGGGGGACAACGUUUCGAAAGGGACGCUAAUACCGCAUACGUCCUACGGGAGAAAGCAGGGGACCUUCGGGCCUUGCGCUAUCAGAUGAGCCUAGGUCGGAUUAGCUAGUUGGUGAGGUAAUGGCUCACCAAGGCGACGAUCCGUAACUGGUCUGAGAGGAUGAUCAGUCACACUGGAACUGAGACACGGUCCAGACUCCUACGGGAGGCAGCAGUGGGGAAUAUUGGACAAGGGGCGAAAGCCUGAUCCAGCCAUGCCGCGUGUGUGAAGAAGGUCUUCGGAUUGUAAAGCACUUUAAGUUGGGAGGAAGGGCAGUAAGUUAAUACCUUGCUGUUUUGACGUUACCGACAGAAUAAGCACCGGCUAACUCUGUGCCAGCCGCCGCCGUAAAAC
rnacentral:rRNA from 1 species